ensembl:lncRNA
GGUUGAUUGGUCAACUGGUUGUUAUGGCCCAUAGGCCCUCCCAGGGUGGUUGCUAUGCUCUCUACAUCAUUGCUGUGCGCUUGUCCGUAAAGCACACCCAGGGUCGUAAAGCAUAGCGCCACCAGCUAACUUCUGAUUGGUUCCUUGUCACGAGAUAGGCAUCUGACUUUCUAGUGUCUGGGACAAGGUCAUAGAAGCACAUGUUCGGCUGUUAUGGUUGCCAAAAGGGAAGCUGGUUCCUUCACCAUGAUGGAGUGACCCUCUAAAACUGCCCUCAAUUUAUGGUGCUGUUGUCACACAACGCUGAAGUGACCAGUGACCAUUUCUCAGGCCAAGAGUGUACCAUCCUUUCAACGCCUGGAUACAACCAUACAUACAGGAAUCGAAUUAUCUCGGGACUUAAUAAAUUACACAAACCAACCCAGGUGGUGGUGGCCCUCGCCUUAAAUCCCAGCACUCGGGAGGCAGAGAGGGUCCUUCAGCACGAUUGGGAUCCACAUCGCCACCCGAGGCUGAAGUACCUUCCUGGGGCGCCUCUGAAGUUUGAAGGCCAGCCGCUCUCCCGGCAGCCUCAGUUAGCAGCUCUUCCAAGCGAGAGAGCAAGCGCUCUAACAGCGGAGACUGACAAGAACAACCCUGGAAAUCACCUUGUGUGACCGGCUCAGCAUAAAUAACCAAGUGUGGCCGUCAUGUUGACAUCUCCAGUCUGGUCUCUCCUCUCUCACCCUGUUCCCUGCAGCUACCUUGCCGGUUUGGUCUGCCUUCUCCCUCUUGGCAGGGGAAUUUUGCAGAUGCUAUUCCUUCUCCUAUAUACUGUUCCUUGUCUUCCUUCCUUCCUUCCUUCCUUCCUUCCUUCCUUCCUUCCUUCCUUCCUUCCUCCCUCCCUCCCUCCCUCCCUCCCUCUCUCUCUCUCUCUCUCUCUCUCUCUCUCUCUCUCUCUUUCUACUUUUUAGAGACAGAGUAUAGCAAUUUGGGCCAGACUUGUGAUCCUCCUGCCUUAGCAGUUCAAGCAUUGGAAUGACAGAUGUAUGUCACUACUCCUGCAUUCCCCUGAAUCCUGUUGUCAUGUGUGUACAUGUGUGUGUGAGGGGUCUGUAACUGUGUGUUCAUGUGGGUAUGUUCGCACACAUGUGGGAGACAGAGAUCAAUGUCAGAUGUCUUGUUCAAUCAUUCUACACAUUUUCAUAAAGGAUUUAUUUAUUUCAUGUUAAAUAUUAUACUUACGUAUGUAUGUAUGCAUGUAUGUACGUAUGUAUGUGAGUAUUUGUCUGUGCACCACAAGCACGCAGAUGCCCGUGGAGGCCAGAAGAGGGCGCCAGUUCCCCUGGAGCUGGAGUUACAGGUGGCUAUGCAUCUCCAAAUGUGGGGGCUGGGAACCCAACUCCAAUCCUUUGAAAGAGCAGCCAGUAUUUGUCUUAGUGUGAAUUUCCAUUGCUUUGAUGGAACACCACGAAUAACCAAAAAGCAAGUUGGGGAGGGAAAGGUGUAGUCCAUCACUGAGGAAGUCAGGACAGGAACUGAAGCAGGGCAGGAACCUGGAGGCAGGAGCUGAUGCAGACGCCAUGGAGGGGAGCUGCUCACUGGCUGGCUCAGCCUGCUUCCUUCCUUCCUUUGCUCCUUCCUUCCUUCCUUCCUUCCUUUCUUUCUUUUUCUAUCUAUCUAUCUAUCUUUCUUUUUUUUUUUUUUUUUGGUUUUUUGGUUUUUCGAGACAGGGUUUCUCCGUGUAGCUUUGGAGGCUGUCCUGGCACUCGCUCUGUAGACCAUACUCGCUUCAAACUCACAGAGAUCCACCUGCCUCUGCCUCCCGAGUGCUGGGAUUAAAGACAUGCGCCACCACCACCUGGCUCAGCCUGCUUUCUUAUAGAACCC